rnacentral:rRNA from 1 species
UACGUAGGUCCCGAGCGUUUGUCCGGAAUUACUGGGUGUAAAGGGUGCGCAGGCGGUCUUGUGCGUCAGAAGUGAAAUAUCACGGCUUAACCGUGAGGGUGCUUUUGAAACGGCGAGACUUGAGUACGGGAGAGGAUGAUGGAAUUCCUGGUGUAGCAGUGAAAUGCGUAGAUAUCAGGAGGAACACCGGUGGCGAAGGCGGAUCUCUGGGCCGUAACUGACGCUGAGGCACGAAAGCGUGGGGAUCAAACAGG